AUGCUGACCAGGACAAAGGAAGCAGGACACAAAAGCCAGCAGCAAGGCCUGUGCUCCAUUGCCCUUCUCCUAAACCACCUCAUCUCUCUGGAACAUGAAGAUUUCAGUUUGUUAAACAGUGGAAUAUUUUCAUUUGUGGCUGAGAGAAUCUCAAAUGACUGGAUGCAAUUUGCUUAGCUAGGACCAAAGGCAGAGUAACACAUUCCUUGAUUUCAGCACAUACUGUUUGAAUUAAAACUUUCAAUUGCACCACGCUAUUAAUGUUUUUAUUUAACACACAAAAGCAAACCUGAUCUAUCCACCAAUAACUUGAACAGCAAAGCCCCAUUUUCAAAGCACAGUAGAAUGCUGAGCCACAAACACUCCUCACGUCAUUUUCAGAUAUAAACAUAGGAAAGUAACCACAACAGCACAAGACUACAGCUACGGCUAUAGCUACAGACCUGCCAGGUAAGAAAAAACUAGGUGAGGAAUAUAUUAUUUUCUUAAAUACAACAUUGUUUUUAAGGAGAGUGAGCCAUUGGUCUACUCUUUCUUUUAAGUUGAUAAACAAGGGUUAACGAGGCUCAGAUCCUCAACAAGAACAGCAAUUCCUUCUUGCUCUGUUAACCCUUCAAUUCACUCAUUUGAGAGUUGGGCCACUUCAUAACAAUAAAGCAAAGAGCACCCACUGGAUUUACAGUAAUGCUGCAGAACUUGACAAUAACAUGUUUGCCUACUUUCUCCUCCCCCAUUUUUCAAGAGUUAAAAUAUCCCCCUAUGGGGUCAGAGAAAAGAAUCUAGGCCAGAUCCACAGCAGCAGGGAGACGUAAGUGCAGAAGCAGCCCAGAAAUAUGAGUUCAGAGGAACAGGAAGCACAGUAUCACAUGAGAUACAAUCACAACCAUAGGCAACCGCAACCAGGAUAACACCGGAAUUAGGUUUGUGUUGUUUUUGCUACCAUCUGGAAUAAUGGAAGUCAAAGCAUUUUAAUUCUAUUAUUCUUGUAUAUCAUGCAAAUUGUUAACCCUCCUAACACUUUGGUCUAGAAAAGAUUGCUAGAAGUACAGCAAGUAGUUGAAAAAACAUCUAGCCAUCUAUGGGAGAACUCAAAAGCAUUUGUGAUCUAUGGUUACAAUAAGGUAGACAAAUUGCACCUGACUGUGCACAGACAACAGGACCUUUCAAAUUAUUUAAUAAGUCUAAACCAUUUGCAGUGAAGGAGAUGAUGCCCAUUGCCAGCUAAACACAGGGUCGCAAUUCUGGACUGUUUUAAAAGCUUAGGGUUGAGAGGGUGGGUGGUUUUCGUUAUUGGUUUUGUCUUUUGUUUUCCACCCCCCCUCAAAACCAGUGCAGGUUGUCUUAUUUUCCCAAGCCUGAGACAGACACAUGUAGCACUAAGCAUAUUUCAACCCCAGCAGUACCAUAAUAGAACAGGUCAGGCCUCUGGAUGCUAUGCAGACUUUCACAGGGCUAAAACAAAUUUGUUAUCAAAUCUUAAAUAAAAUGCCAAUUCUUUCUUCAGUCUUAUUUUCAUUCCCGUUUCUGUUAAUUAGU
rnacentral:lncRNA from 1 species